UUUUAUGUUGUACGUUUACAUAUUAUUUAUUAUUUUCGAAAAUUAGUAAUAUUAAAAUGUAAAACUAUAUUUUAUGCCACGUGUCAUCCAAAAGAAGCUGUAUUUUUCGCUGAGGUGGGCGUUCUAUUUAAAAUGUAAAACUAUAUUUUAUGCCACGUGUCAUCCAAAAGAAACUGUAUUUUUCGCUGAGGUGUGCGUUCUAUGGAGCCUCAAAAGGUCUUUUUUUAUUAGUAAGGAUUCUCUCUUCUUUGACUUCCUGUAACGACCCGGUUUUCUCAACCGGUUGGUUUGGUUUUAUUUUUUUUAAUUAAUAUGAUUGGACCAAACCAUUCCUCAAACUAAUUUAUUCCUAUUUCUAAUUAAUUGUGUUAUUCCUUAUACCUAGCUAUAUAUAUUUGCACUCACCCUUCUUCCUUCUCGGGAGCCGCAUCAACCAUUUUCUUUUCUUCUCUACUUCACCGAUCAUCUCUUCCCUUCUCCAAUAUUGACUUCUCCUUGUUUACGUUCUUGUUCUAUGUGCAAUCUCCAUGCUUUGGGAAGAGGAGCUGUCAUCUUCAUCACACGCCGUUUAGCACCAACCGCCGCCGAUCAACGUUGUGGAGCCGGGUAUCAUACUGGAGGAACAGCCCCUGCCAUCACAGACUCGUUACGUGCCAUCACGUCAUUGCCCUGAUCUCUCCUAUCAGAUCUGUGAGAUGGAGAGCAUGAGCCGAGAGGGAGAGAAGGCGUUCAAGCCGGAAUCACCGCACCUCGACCGCCGUUGAUCCACACCAUAAUCAUCAACCGUGACCCGUGAUCCACCGGAGAUGCAUCACCAUUAGCCCGAAUCCGAGAUCCAUAACCGCGAGUCAAAACCGUGAGGUUCAACUGCUCGUUAUUUAUUACUUGUGUAGCAAGUAACCAUACUUAUAAAUGCAAUACUUAUUCUUAUCUUAAUAUUUUGUCUAUGUUCCUUUUUGAUAUGGUUUGUCUUGAACUCCAUGGCGAAACCCUAAUUUUCUUGGGGAUCAAGUCAUCUCGUUUAUUGCCGGAUCCGUUUCUGGUUCUCCGUAAUGGCUAAGAGGAGCUGUCAUCUUCAUCACACGCCGUUUAGCACCAACCGCCGCCGAUCAACGUUGUGGAGCCGGGUAUCAUACUGGAGGAACAGCCCCUGCCAUCACAGACUCGUUACGUGCCAUCACGUCAUUGCCCUGAUCUCUCCUAUCGGAUCUGUGAGAUGGAGAGCAUGAGCCGAGAGGGAGAGAAGGCGUUCAAGCCGGAAUCACCGCACCUCGACCGCCGUUGAUCCACACCAUAAUCAUCAACCGUGACCCGUGAUCCACCGGAGAUGCAUCACCGUUAGCCCGAAUCCGAUAUCCAUAACCGCGAGUCAAAACCGUGAGGUUCAACUGCUCGUUAUUUAUUACUUGUGUAGCAAGUAACCAUACUUAUAAAUGCAAUACUUAUUCUUAUCUUAAUAUUUUGUCUAUGUUCCUUUUUGAUAUGGUUUGUCUUUAACGAGUAAUGGAACUCCAUGGCGAAACCCUAAUUUUCUUGGGGAUCAAGUCAUCUCGUUUAUUGUCGGAUCCGUUUCUGGUUCUCCGUAAUGGCUAAGAGAAGCUGUCAUCUUCAUCACACGCCGUUUAGCACCAACCGCCGCUGAUCAACGUUGUGGAGCCGGGUAUCAUACUGGAGGAACAGCCCCUGCCAUCACAGACUCGUUACGUGCCGUCACGUCAUUGCCCUGAUCUCUCCUAUCGGAUCCGUGAGAUGGAGAGCAUGAGCCGAGAGGGAGAGAAGGCACACAAGCCGGAAUCACCGCACCUCGACCGCCGUUGAUCCACACCAUAAUCAUCAACCAUGACCCGUGAUCCACCGGAGAUGCAUCACCGUUAGCCCGAAUCCGAGAUCCAUAACCGCGAAUCAAAAUCGUGAGAGUAAUGAAACUCCAUGGCGAAACCCUAAUUUUCUUGGGGAUCAAGUCAUCUCGUUUAUUGCCGGAUCCGUUUCUGGUUCUCCAUAAUGGCUAAGGUUGGUAUAAUCAUGUACCUCCCGACAGCAGAUCCUCGCCAGAGGAAGGACAUCACAGACGAGUUUUACCACUAUAGACGUUUGACACAGACACAAUUGUGGGAUCAAUAUUCUGCGUAUGAACACUGGGCUAAAAGUGAGAUACCAAAGGAUAAAGAGGAACUUGAAGCCGCCCUACAAGAAAGACUCAGAAAAAGAUUCCCUGUGGAUGCAUACAACAAAGCAACAAAAAUUCCUUCGUGAGCUUGACCCAAACAGAGUUCUCCCCAACAAUAUGGUGGAAAAGCUCUUCCCCGUCUCCAACACUGCCUGAAACAUUUUCAUCAAUAGGUUAUUUCCUCCUUAAAGUUACCUCUUUUUGGAAUCCGAUACAUACAUGUUUUCAUUGCAUCUACAAGUGUUUGUACGAAGAGAGGAAGGAAAGAAUUCUGUUUGGGUCAUAAAAAGUGUACAUUUGAGUUAUAUUACUGUUGUUCCAAAUUCCCAUAAAUAAAUAUUGUUCUUUCACUUUCUCGUGA